AGCGAACGCUGGCGGCAGGCCUAACACAUGCAAGUCGAACGGAUCCUUCGGGAUUAGUGGCGGACGGGUGAGUAACACGUGGGAACGUGCCCUUUGGUUCGGAACAACUCAGGGAAACUUGAGCUAAUACCGGAUGUGCCCUUCGGGGGAAAGAUUUAUCGCCAUUGGAGCGGCCCGCGUCUGAUUAGCUAGUUGGUGAGGUAAAGGCUCACCAAGGCGACGAUCAGUAGCUGGUCUGAGAGGAUGAUCAGCCACAUUGGGACUGAGACACGGCCCAAACUCCUACGGGAGGCAGCAGUGGGGAAUCUUGCGCAAUGGGCGAAAGCCUGGCGCAGCCAUGCCGCGUGAAUGAUGAAGGUCUUAGGAUUGUAAAAUUCUUUCACCGGGGACGAUAAUGACGGUACCCGGAGAAGAAGCCCCGGCUAACUUCGUGCCAGCAGCCGCCGUAAAAC
rnacentral:rRNA from 1 species